CCUACGGGUGGCAGCAGUGAGGAAUAUUGGUCAAUGGACGAAAGCCUGAACCAGCCAAGCCGCGUGCAGGAAGACGGCCCUAUGGGUUGUAAACUGCUUUUGUCCGAGAAUAAACCCCGGUACGUGUCCCUGACUGCGUGUAUCCUAAGAAUAAGGAUCGGCUAACUCCGUGCCAGCAGCCGCGGUAAUACGGAGGAUUCGAGCGUUAUCCGGAUUUAUUGGGUUUAAAGGGUGCGUAGGCGGGCGGUUAAGUCAGCGGGGAAAUCUCGGGGCUCAACCCCGGUAUUGCCGCGGAAACUGGGCGGCUUGAGUGUGCGAGAAGUAGGCGGAAUGUGUGGUGUAGCGGUGAAAUGCUUAGAGAUGACGAAGAACACCGAUUGCGAAGGCAGCUUACCG
rnacentral:rRNA from 1 species